GGCUGGGUGGCGGAGUGAUUAACGCAAAGGACUCGAGCGUUUGAUUCUAGUGAUACUUUUCCUUCAGGAGCGUCUGUUCGAAUCAGGCCCUCGUCG